ACACCUAACUCUUUCGGAAUAACUUAUUAAAGUUUGCAUGCGACAUCCCAAUUCCUGACCCCAUGUAAUUAUUUGGCAACAGCUCAACUUCCAACUCCCCUCCACAAACACACGCACACUGACACAGAGAAAGAAAUGAGGAUCCGUAACAAACAAGGAAAUGAUUAGCCAGACCCCGAUCCACCACUCUCACCCCAUCAUCUAACCCUUUAAAGGGACAGCCAUGGCCCACCUCUUCUCCUCUUUCCUUUAACAAUGUGAGAGAAACAUCAAUAGCUUAUAUCGUGGGCCUUGCCUAACCUUAUAAUGGAGACAGUGUCAGGUAUAAGCUAGGUUCAAUGGUUGUCAAUCCAAGUUUAAUGCCAACUGCCACAUGCCCAAGUAGUUAACUAAGUCAUCAGAGGCUUUCUAUUGGGUAUGGAAAGUGGUGCAAGUGACCCUCCUUAAUUUACUCUUCAUCCUUGCUGAAGGACAUAUAUAUCCAUAUAGGACUUUUGAUGCUCUCAUGCCCAUCAAGGACCAAAA
rnacentral:lncRNA from 1 species